UGGGGAAUUUUGGACAAUGGGGGCAACCCUGAUCCAGCCAUGCCGCGUGAGUGAAGAAGGCCUUCGGGUUGUAAAGCUCUUUCGGCCGGGAGGAAAUCGCAUAGGUUUAUACCCUGUGUGGAUGACAGUACCGGAAUAAGAAGCACCGGCUAACUACGUGCCAGCAGCCGCGGUAAUACGUAGGGUGCGAGCGUUAAUCGGAAUUACUGGGCGUAGAGCGUGCGCAGGCGGUUUUUUAAGACAGGCGUGAAAUCCCCGGGCUCAACCUGGGAACUGCGCUUGUGACUGGAAGGCUAGAGUAUGGCAGAGGGGGGUGGAAUUCCACGUGUAGCAGUGAAACGCGUAGAGAUGUGGAGGAGCACCGAUGGCGAAGGCAGCCCCCUGGGCCAAUACUGACGCUCAUGCACGAAAGCGUGGGGAGCAAACA
rnacentral:rRNA from 1 species